AAACUAGUUCUGCUGACAGGCUUCACACACUCCUCUCAGAGGUUGGAUGAUAACAGCUCACACUGCAACGUGCACAAGUUCGCUUGGAUUAAAAACAAAAAACAAUCCUGAGAGGUGCUGACUGUGUCCACUCACACAUAUGGAAGCUGUGAUAGGACUUCUGCUUGUGUUGCUCCAAGUUUCAUUUGGUGUGGAAAAUCACUGUGAUGGCAGACAGAAUAACGCUCAGUGUUAUGCAGCUUUGGAUGGAUCUAUAUUCAUCAGGCUGAUGGACAGCGCUGUAGAAAAUCAUACAUACAUGUGGUCUAAAUAUAAAAGUAUAUUAUUGGUAGUGAAGAAUAAACAUGUUAUAAUGAAUACUUUAGAGAAGAGAGCAGAUUUUACUACACAAAAUGGUAUUUAUAGAAUAAAUCAACUAAAGUCGAGUGACAGUGGCCAGUAUCGACUUGAUGUUUUUGUAGAUGGGGGACAAAAAGAAGAACGGAAACUAAAUUUGUCUUUUCAAGGUCAGUUGUUUCUUUUUGGUUUGUCCAUAUAGAGUAAAGUGUACACUCAGAUUAUUUAUAAUCUGUAAACAAUCUCUUACACAGCUCCAGUAUCUUCUGUCCAGCUCGUCCCUACAUGUCUUUCUAUGGGGGAGAAGAAAGUUUCCUGCUCCUCUAAAGGGGACAGUCUUCUCUACAGCUGGACUCUGGAUGGACGCCCUCUGACAGACUCUGACCUCGUCCCAAAGGGCAGCAACACCAACAUUAUUCACCUGAAACUACAAACUGUAGGAAAACUGGUCUGUCAUGUCCAAAACAAAGUCAGCAAAAGCUCUGGUGAAGUGACGUUAACCACUUGUGGUGUGGAAAAUCACUGUGAUGGCAGACAGAAUAACGCUCAGUGUUAUGCAGCUUUGGAUGGAUCUAUAUUCAUCAGGCUGAUGGACAGCGCUGUAGAAAAUCAUACAUACAACUGGAAUAAAGAUAAAAGUAGAUUAUUGGUAGUGAAUAAUAAACGUGUUAUAACAAAUACUUUAGAGAAGAGAGCAGAUUUUACUACACAAAAUGGUAUUUAUAGAAUAAAUCAACUAAAGUCGAGUGACAGUGGCCAGUAUCGACUCGAAGUUUUUGUAGAUGGGGGAAAAAAAGAAGAAGAACGGAUACUAAAUUUGUCUGUUCAAGCUCCAGUAUCUUCUGUCCAGCUCGUCCCUACAUGUCUUUCUAUGGGGGAGAAGAAAGUUUCCUGCUCCUCUAAAGGGGACAGUCUUCUCUACAGCUGGACUCUGGAUGGACGUCCUCUGACAGACUCUGACCUCGUCCCAAAGGGCAGCAACACCAACAUUAUUCACCUGAAACUACAAACUGUAGGAAAACUGGUCUGUCAUGUCCAAAACAAUGUCAGCAAAAGCUCUGGUGAAGUGACGUUAACCACUUGUGGUUACAUCUUCAUAAACUGCACUUUGUCCAAUGGGACAGACAUAUUGCAGUGGGUGCUUGAGGCCACUAACACGUUGUGUGUUGACCCAACAACAGCCCCUAUGGGUGUGGAAAAUCACUGUGAUGGCAGACAGAAUAACGCUCAGUGUUAUGCAGCUUUGGAUGGAUCUAUAUUCAUCAGGCUGAUGGACAGCGCUGUAGAAAAUCAUAUAUACAUGUGGUUUAAAUAUACAAGUAAAUUAUUGGUAGUGAAUAAUAAACGUGUUAUAAUGAAUACUUUAGAGAAGAGAGCAGAUUUUACUACACAAAAUGGUAUUUAUAGAAUAAAUCAACUAAAGUCGAGUGACAGUGGCCAGUAUCGACUUGAAUAUUUUGUAGAUGGGGGAAAAAAAGAAGAACGGAAACUAAAUUUGUCUGUUCAAGCUCCAGUAUCUUCUGUCCAGCUCGUCCCUACAUGUCUUUCUAUGGGGGAGAAGAAAGUUUCCUGCUCCUCUAAAGGGGACAGUCUUCUCUACAGCUGGACUCUGGAUGGACGCCCUCUGACAGACUCUGACCUCGUCCCAAAGGGCAGCAACACCAACAUUAUUCACCUGAAACUACAAACUGUAGGAAAACUGGUCUGUCAUGUCCAAAACAAAGUCAGCAAAAGCUCUGGUGAAGUGACGUUAACCACUUGUGGUGUGGAAAAUCACUGUGAUGGCAGACAGAAUAACGCUCAGUGUUAUGCAGCUUUGGAUGGAUCUAUAUUCAUCAGGCUGAUGGACAGCGCUGUAGAAAAUCAUUCAUACAUGUGGUCUAAAGAUACAAGUAGAUUAUUGAGAGUGAAUGAUAAACACGUUAUAAAUACUUUAGAGAAGAGAGCAGAUUUUACUACACAAAAUGGUAUUUAUAGAAUAAAUCAACUAAAGUCGAGUGACAGUGGCCAGUAUCGACUUGAUGUUUUUGUAGAUGGGGUAAAAGAAGAAGAACGGAAACUAAAUUUGUCUGUUCAAGGUCAGUUGUUUCUUUUUGGUUUGUCCAUAUAG
ensembl:lncRNA